GGGCGUGUGGCUCAUUGGCAGAGCGUCUCGUUACCCCAGGCAGCGGCCUUCGGCCCUACUUGUACGGGAACGAGGAGGAGCGGGUUCAAUUCCUAUCUCGUCCA